AACGAACGCUGGCGGCAGGCUUAACACAUGCAAGUCGAGCGCCCCGCAAGGGGAGCGGCAGACGGGUGAGUAACGCGUGGGAAUCUACCCAUCUCUACGGAAUAACGCAUGGAAACGUGUGCUAAUACCGUAUAAGUACUUCGGGAGAAAGAUUUAUCGGAGAUGGAUGAGCCCGCGUUGGAUUAGCUAGUUGGUGGGGUAAAGGCCUACCAAGGCGACGAUCCAUAGCUGGUCUGAGAGGAUGAUCAGCCACACUGGGACUGAGACACGGCCCAGACUCCUACGGGAGGCAGCAGUGGGGAAUAUUGGACAAUGGGCGCAAGCCUGAUCCAGCCAUGCCGCGUGAGUGAUGAAGGCCCUAGGGUUGUAAAGCUCUUUCACCGGUGAAGAUAAUGACGGUAACCGGAGAAGAAGCCCCGGCUAACUUCGUGCCAGCCGCCGCUGUAACAC
rnacentral:rRNA from 1 species